UCACUCACUCACUCACUCACUCACAACACAGACACAGAGGUAGAUACACAGACACAGUGCCCAGAUCACUCACUCACUCACUCACUCACUCACUCACUCACUCAGAACACAGACACAGAGGUAGAUACACAGACACAGUGCCCAGAUCACUCACUCUCUCACUCACUCACUCACUCACUCACUCUCUCACUCAGAACACAGACACAGAGGUAGAUACACAGACACAGUGCCCAGAUCACUCACUCUCUCACUCACUCACUCACUCACUCACUCACUCACUCACAACACAGACACAGAGGUAGAUACACAGACACAGUGCCCAGAUCACUCACUCACUCACUCACUCACUCAGAACACAGACACAGAGGUAGAUACACAGACACAGUGCCCAGAUCACUCACUCACUCACUCACUCACUCACUCACUCACUCACUCAGAACACAGACACAGAGGUAGAUACACAGACACAGUGCCCAGAUCACUCACUCACUCACUCACUCACUCACUCACUCACUCAGAACACAGACACAGAGGUAGAUACACAGACACAGUGCCCAGAUCACUCACUCUCUCACUCACUCACUCACUCACUCACUCUCUCACUCAGAACACAGACACAGAGGUAGAUACACAGACACAGUGCCCAGAUCACUCACUCACUCACUCACUCACUCACUCACUCACUCACUCACUCAGAACACAGACACAGA